rnacentral:rRNA from 1 species
GAUGAACGCUAGCUACAGGCUUAACACAUGCAAGUCGAGGGGAAACGACAUCGAAAGCUUGCUUUUGAUGGGCGUCGACCGGCGCACGGGUGAGUAACGCGUAUCCAACCUGCCCGCCACAGGGGGAUAACCGGGAGAAAUUCCGACUAAUACCCCGUAUGCUCACGGUAGCGCAUGCUACAGAGAGGAAACCGCGAGGGGUGGCGGAUGGCCAUGCGGCGCAUUAGCUAGUUGGCGGGGUAACGGCCCACCAAGGCGACGAUGCGUAGGGGUUCUGAGAGGAAGGUCCCCCACAUUGGUACUGAGACACGGACCAAACUCCUACGGGAGGCAGCAGUGAGGAAUAUUGGUCAAUGGGCGAGAGCCUGAACCAGCCAAGUCGCGUGAGGGAAGACGGUCCUAAGGAUUGUAAACCUCUUUUGUCGGGGAACAACGAGUUGCACGUGUGCGACAGUGAGGGUACCCGAAGAAAAAGCAUCGGCUAACUCCGUG